UUAAACAAUUCAUAAGCCACAGCCAGCCAUCGAAAGCUAUACCUUUAGAUAUCUCUUUAACUUAUUCACCAUAUUCCGAUUAUUUUUGUGGCUUUCAGUCUCUUGAGGAUUAUGUGAUAUGCAAUGGUGAUCCCUUCUAGUGUAUCAAACAAUUUGUAUUCCAGAGGACCAGGUUUAUGAGCAUGGAAAGUUUUCGUUGUAGUUUUAUGAUGAAAUGAUCGUUGAUAAUCUGUUCAUGUCUUUUUAGUCUCUCUUUUUUUAUAUACAUUUUUUAUGAGUAUACUCUUCUAGGGAUACAAUCUUAAUUUUUUAGAAACACAGACAGUAUGUUUUUCCCAACGGCCAGGUUUUGAGAACUAUCUUCCCCUAAACCCAACUCGUGUAGCUAUGUUCUUGUUUAUUGCAUCAUAUAAAUAAAAGAAUUAUUGAAGCAUAUAUCAUUCAUAUUUUAUUAUGUUAUAUAUCUUUGAUAAGUUGGAAAUUAUCAUAUAUUCAUAAGCUUUCGUGAAAUCCCACACAAUCUUCUUUCUUUUUUAACAUUUACGUACGGUAAUCUCCUUUACAGACCCUUUAUAUAUAGUCUUGCGAAACCUGAAUAAUAACCACUCGAUUUGCUCUGUAAUUUACUAGCUUCUCCAAAAAGCCCUACCAAACAUUUGUUAUGGGAGUAUUUGAUACACUAGUAUGGAUCACUUUUGUGAGUCACAUCACAAAGCAUGGUGUUAUUAUUGUGUUAAUUGGUAGUUGGAGAGGGAGUUAAUCACUUGCAGUUGGAAAAAGCUUUUGUAAGAAAAGGAAGACAACAGAACCAACAUCUAAGAAAAAGCAGGAGGUGGAUGUAAGAAAGAUACAACAGAGGCCAGACCAUAUCAUAUAUCACUCGCACUAAAAUAUAUGUACAGGGGAUUUUCUUACAGAGAAAAUCCAUCUAGAUUUAUUUUAUGUAAUAAUUUAUAUUUUAUAUUAAAUUUUAAUGAUUCAAUUAUUUAAUUAAAA